CGAUUUGGUCCCUGCCGUCGGAUCACAGAACCAUGCAGAGAGUAGUAGUGGCAGACUAGGAGUGAGUCUAGGCCUCCCCAUCUCCUUCAUAUAUCCUCCUUCUCCCUCAGUCCCCUCGAUUCUGUGAUUUCUGUUUUCCCCUCGUUCAUAGCCUCAGCCCAUCUCGUACGGUCAUUAGUCCAGUUGGCUUUGCUCCUCCUUCGAUCAUCUAUUUUUUCAUUUCCUUGUCAGCGGUAAUCUAGUUAGUCACUUGACGUCGUUUAUGGAUCCUUAUUGAUGAUAUCACAAAGACUUUUUGCCUCUUUUCUCGUGUUUUCAUGUUCUAGCCACUGUCGCGAUCUCCACUACAAGAUAUGCCGUUCACCACCACACUUAGGUUAUCAAACGGCAAAAGUGAUAUGGGACAAACUAGAAAGUCACGUAUGAAGAAACCAAUGUGGUGAAAGAAUCAAAGGCAAACCUCCUUAUCCAUGAUUGUGAACUAUUUGAGAUGAAACCGGGUGAAACCAUAGCGGAAAUGAGCACAAGAUUUAUGGAUCUUGUUAAUCUUCUUAAAGCUCUUAGAAAGAAAUUUGAAGAAUCGGAACUUGUGAAGAAAAUCUUGAGAUCACUAUUAAAGUCAUGGGAAGGAAAAACCAUCGUGAUUCAAGACACUAAGGAUUUUCGGAGAUACACCUAUGAUGAACUAAUUGGUUUUCUCAUUGUACAUGAGAUAAUUUACAAGAAGGAUGAAAAUGAAGGUGAUCAAAAGAAAAAGAAAGGUAUAGCUUCAAAUCCAAAAAAGUGGAAGAGAAAAAGAAAGAUGUUGUUCAAGUGAUGAUUCAAUUGCUUCAAGUGAUGAUGAUGAGGAUAUGGUGAUGGUAGUUAAGAGGUUCAAAAGAGCAUUCAAGAAAGGUGCAAGCAAGUAUGAGAAGUUCAUUAAGAAGUACACUCCAAAUACUCCAAAUCCAAAAGAUUCAAGUGAAAUUGUUUGUUAUGAGUGUAAUAAACUGGGUCAUAUCAAGCUGAAAUGUCCUACACUAAAGAAGAAAAAGUUUAGGAAAGAUAAAAAGCAAAAAGGCAAUGGCGGCUACUUGGAGCGAUAGUGACUCUUCAUCAAAUGAUGAGUUACAAAGAAAAAGCCCAAAGCUCACACAUUGAAGAUAGUGAUAAUGAGGUAAAUCUUGAACCUUUAAUGUUAAUGAGUUAGAACUUGCAUUUAUGAAAACAUAUGAUAAAUAUAGACCUUUAAAAAGAAAUGCAAAGUUUUAAGAAAUGAAAAUUGUGAAUUGAGAUUGGAAAAUAUUUCUUUGAGUAUGGUUUUAAAGGAAAAUGAAUUUUACAAAUCUCAAAUGAAAUUAUUUAAUGAAGUAAAUGAUGAGCUUAAAAGGUCAAAAGAAAUUCGUGUGACACUUCUUGAAAAAAAUAAAGCUCUUGAAGCAAAAGUUGAAUCUUUAACAAAAGAUUUAGCUAAAUUUAUAAAAGAAAAAUAAACUCUUGAUGUACUUCUUGGAAACCAAAGAUUUUCAAAUGAAAAAUUUGGAAUCGGUUAUGAUGGUUUUAUGAAAUAUAGAAAAUACAAAAAUUAUAUUGUUAAAGCUUCAUCUUCUUCACAACUAAGCAUUACAUGUUUUUAUUGUAAUAAUAAAGGUCAUAUGGUUAAUGCUUGUCCUAUUAGGAAAG
rnacentral:misc_RNA from 1 species